UUCUCUUAAUCCUAAACAGAUUGGCUUCUGCCGCAGAAGAAAACCCUCAGCCUGGCCGUCUCCUUGGCGUUUGCUCCGCAGGAACCCUGUUAAUCGGCAGCACAUGCGAUGGGUUAUGGAAUGGAUUAUGGGGCCUUGCAACCCUCCACGGACCAAAGAAAGAAGGGAGGUAGCAGUGGCGGGGGGGAGACAGUUGUCAGUCAUUCCUAAUAGUGGCUCCCCUCAACAGCGGAGUCAAUGGCUCUCUCUCUCUGAUGUGAACACUGCAUAGAAACUCAUGCGGCGCUCUGAACGUAGUAAGUGGAGGUCUGUGAAAUCGUGGCGAGGAAGAAGGAUCUGAGAGGAGGAGGACAGGAGAAGGGGGGAAGAGGCAUGGGGAGAAUGAGAUAAAGAAGACAGAGACAAUCCAGGAAAAACACACAUGUACAAACAGACUCUGUCAGAGAACAAAACGGUGAGUUUAGCACAGUCUUCAUUUUUCACUACUAGUUACAGUUAUGUGAAAAUUAGCAAUGAAUGCGUUGUAUCUGCGUGCCCCCACAGUGUGUACUUCUCAGGAGGUGGGUCACGUCUCAGCAACAAAUCUGCAAGACGCACUCUGUUGCUAUUAUGCACACAGAGAGGAUCUACUAAAACCAUAAAGUGCAUAAAACAAUACAAAUUCUGAAAUGUGGAAAGGUAUGUUCAUGCAUUUGUGCUUUUUGAAAAAUGGAGUCACAAAUGCAAAGGAAAGGGAAAAAAGACACCCCCUUUCUUGUGCGCUGAGAGUGGAUCAGACAUCAGGUGAGUGCAAAAAUCCCUAAAAAAAGGAAGACUUUUUUUUGUUGGUUGGGUUUAUCCACAUAUUCAGAGUCAGACCAUACAUUCAAGCCACUGCAGCAUUUAAUGCCUAAAAAUGUGUAUAUGUUUUGUUUUCUCACAUUUUGUCAUAUUUAAAUCCUGAACUUUAGUGUUUUUACUUGUAUUGAUUUGGUAC